rnacentral:rRNA from 1 species
GACGAACGCUGGCGGCGUGCUUAACACAUGCAAGUCGAACGGAGUGGCGAACGGGUGAGUAACACGUGGGUGAUCUGCCUUGCACUUCGGGAUAAGCUUGGGAAACUGGGUCUAAUACCGGAUAGUGCAACAUGAGCUCGCGGCUUAUCAGCUUGUUGGUGGGGUAAUGGCCUACCCAGGCGUAGACGGGUAGCCGGCCUGAGAGGGUGUACGGGCACAAGGGGACUGAGAUACGGCCCAGACGCCUACGGGGGGCAGCAGGGGGGAAUAUUGCACAAUGGGGGGAAGCCGGAUGCAGCGACGCCGGGGGGGUGAUGAAGGCCUUCGGGUUGUAAACUCCUUGCGAUAGGGACGCGGUACCUGUAUAAGAAGCACCGGCUAACUACGUGCCAGCAGCCGCGGUAAUAC